rnacentral:rRNA from 1 species
UACGUAGGGUGCGAGCGUUAUUCGGAAUUACUGGGCGUAAAGAGUGCGUAGGCGGUUUCUCAAGUCCGCUGUGAAAUCCCCGGGCUCAACCUGGGAAUGGCAGUGGAAACUAGGAGACUUGAAUCUGGCAGAGGGGGGUGGAAUUCCGCGUGUAGCAGUGAAAUGCGUAGAUAUGCGGAGGAACACCGAUGGCGAAGGCAAUCCCCUGGGCCUGUACUGACGCUCAUGCACGAAAGCGUGGGGAGCAAACAGG